UUCUUUACCCCUAACACUGUAUGUUUCCCCUUUGAAAUUUUUUGCUGUUUACAGUGAAGCUACAAUUUUUGUAUCCUUGUUUGCUUCACCUUGACAAUAUUCUGGAUUAGUCACACAUAAGUUUGAAAAUCCUAGCAUACAAAGUGUAAUUAAUUUGCCUGCAGUUUAAUUUAAUACAUUGCUCAUGGUAUCAAUAUAUAGGGCUAAACUUUCAUUCAGCAGAACUUGUGGUCUGCUGCUCUUGCGAGAAAAUCUUUGUGUAUUACAACUCAACUUUUCUCAUUCGUAACCUAAAACUUUUUGUCUUUUCAAAAGAAACCAGAAUAUGUUCAACACAACGAGGCUAGUCAGUCAACCUGUAGCUCAACCUGGUCAGCUCAGAUGUCCUGCAUUCUUUAGGCGUUGAAAGAGCAGUAUUUUGUCUUGAUGUUGUGUU